rfam:Stachybotrys chlorohalonata IBT 40285 unplaced genomic scaffold scaffold1690, whole genome shotgun sequence.
UCCUCCGACGUGACACAACAUCCUGCCGCGAUGUUGUCCGACCUGCAGUGUCACACCUCGGAGGA